rnacentral:rRNA from 1 species
GAUGAACGCUGGCGGCGUGCCUAAUACAUGCAAGUCGAGCGAACAGACGAGGAGCUUGCUCCUCUGACGUUAGCGGCGGACGGGUGAGUAACACGUGGAUAACCUACCUAUAAGACUGGGAUAACUUCGGGAAACCGGAGCUAAUACCGGAUAACAUGUUGAACCGCAUGGUUCAACAGUGAAAGACGGUCUUGCUGUCACUUAUAGAUGGAUCCGCGCCGCAUUAGCUAGUUGGUAAGGUAACGGCUUACCAAGGCAACGAUGCGUAGCCGACCUGAGAGGGUGAUCAGCCACACUGGAACUGAGACACGGUCCAGACUCCUACGGGAGGCAGCAGUGGGGAAUCUUCCGCAAUGGGCGAAAGCCUGACGGAGCAACGCCGCGUGAGUGAAGAAGGUCUUCGGAUCGUAAAACACUGUUAUUAGGGAAGAACAAAUGUGAAAGUAACUAUGCGCGUCUUGACGGUACCGAAUCAGAAAGCCACGGCUAACUACGUG